rnacentral:rRNA from 1 species
AGGACGAACGCUGGCGGCGUGCUUAACACAUGCAAGUCGAGCGGUAAGGCCUUUCGGGGUACACGAGCGGCGAACGGGUGAGUAACACGUGGGUGAUCUGCCCUGCACUUCGGGAUAAGCCUGGGAAACUGGGUCUAAUACCGGAUAUGACCUCCUAUCGCAUGGUGGGUGGUGGAAAGAUUUAUCGGUGCAGGAUGGGCCCGCGGCCUAUCAGCUUGUUGGUGGGGUAAUGGCCUACCAAGGCGACGACGGGUAGCCGACCUGAGAGGGUGACCGGCCACACUGGGACUGAGACACGGCCCAGACUCCUACGGGAGGCAGCAGUGGGGAAUAUUGCACAAUGGGCGAAAGCCUGAUGCAGCGACGCCGCGUGAGGAUGACGGCCUUCGGGUUGUAAACCUCUUUCAGUCAGGGACGAAGCGACAAGUGACGGUACCUGCAGAAGAAGCACCGGCUAACUCGUGCCACAGCCGC